CCCGUGGUGGGUUCGGCUGCGCGGCGGGGCUGAGGCGGCCGCGAAGGUCCGAGCGCAGAAAGUGGACACUGGGUUCCUGAACCUCCUCACUGAAGACAGCCAGGCCUCAAGCACAGUUGAGAAGUUGUCUUGCUGUCCAGGCGGGUGUCCUUGCGCGGCACACCAGCACACCUGCACCUUCCCAGCUUUGUGCGUUUCUCAGGAUUUGUUUCAUCCACCAAGAGUGCACGGGAGCCACAGGGAGCACCUUCCAUCCUUGGACUGCUGGUCAGGAAAAUUAGCAAAGGCCUCAGGAAGAUGUAGAAGCAAACUAGAGCUCUGACCCGGUCUCUUCUCUGUUUGCUAUCUGGUCUUAUUCUCAAGAGGACUUUGCGUGGCUUUUUGUGAGAUAGGAAGAGGAAAUAGAGUGAAUGAAGUUUCCUUGCGGUUUUGCUGCCUGUGGCCUGCCUGCUCUUUCACUCAGCCUAGCCUCUUUCCCUGCGGGCAGGAUCAUGCUCUGUGCUCCUCUGCUUUUGUCGCAAGUGUCUUUGCUCCUCCCACGGAGUUUCCUCUUUCAUGCUAUCUUUAGAAUAAGCUUCCAUUUCUAGCAGAAAUUCUGGGGAGUUCCCUGAUGGCCUAGCUGUUAAGGAUCUGGUGUGGUCACUGCUGUGUUCAAUCCCUGUCCCAGAACUUCUGCAUGCCAUGGGCAAGAUCAAAAAAAAAAAAAAAUUCUGAUGGAUUUUUGAUUCAGGUUGUGUUUACUAUUUCAGUAAAUUUCAGGGAGCUCUGACAGCUUCAUAACAUACAUUCUUAUCCAAUGCGUGCGUGUGUGUAUGUGUGCAAAAGAAAAAAUGUUAGACAAGAAGGCAGACCCCAAAGAUGACGCAUUCUUUGAUUCCAUUUAGAUGAAAUUUCCAGAAAAGGCAAAUCUGCAGGGCUGGACUGGGUUUUCCAGGGGCUGGGGAUGAGCUGUGCUUGGGCACCAGGCAUUUACCAGGCGAAGGGAAGGAUCCAGAACUCUGUGCCGUGUGGCGGGGGUGGCUGUGAAAUGACUGAAAAAUCCUUGAAUUAUGUACUUCCAACUGGCUGAUUUUAUGACAUGUAGAAAGUGAGCCUCAGUAAAGUUAUUAGCUCAGCUGGGGAGAGAAGCUGUCCCUGCAGACAGUGACCAGAAGCUGAGAUUGGAGGCCUGGGGUCCAUCUGGCUUGUUUAUGUUCCGCCAAGGCCCAGUGUUAACUCUGGUUCACAAAGUCGCCAAGCAGGAGGGGAGUUGGGAGAGCCACCGGCAGCCUGGCGAGGCUGUUGCAGGGUGUCUGUGUCUAAGUUUCUUUCUUUUUUUUUUUUUUUUUUUUUUAUUUUCCCACUGUACAGCAAGGGGGUCAGGUUAUCCUUACAUGUAUACAUUACAAUUACGUUUUUUCCCCCACCCUUUGUUCUGUUGCAACAUGAGUAUCUAGACAUAGUUCUCAAUGAGAAACUGAGAAGUUUCCAUCAUGGCUCACUGGGUUAAGGACCUGAUGUUGUCUGUGAGGAUGUGGGUUCAAUCCCUGAUCUCCCUCAGCAGGUUAAGGAUCUGGUGUUGUCACAGGCAGUGGCAUAGGUCACAGAUGCAGCUCAGAUCUGGUGUUGUCAUGGCUGUGGCUUGGAUUUUACUUAUUUACUUAUUUGCUUUUUAGGGCUACACCCAUGGCAUAUGGAAGUUCCCAGGCUAGGAGUCGAAUCAGAGCUGCAGCUGCUGGCCUACACCACAGCCAUUGCAAUGUAGGAUCUGAGCCACAUCUGUGACCUAUACCAGCACUCAUGGCAAUGCCAGAUCCAUAAUCCACUGAGCGAGGCCAGGGAUCAAACCUGCAUCCUCAUGGAUCCUAGUUGGAUUCGUUUUCUCUGCAUGACAACUGGAACUCCAUGUGGCUCUGAUUUGAUCCUGGGCCCAGGAACUUCCAUAUGCGGCAGGUGCUGCCAAAAAAAAAGAAACUUCAUUUAGAGAAAGACAAAGGAGAGGCAAGUCACACCACAGCCCCUGCCCAGUGAGGACCGCUGCCAUGACACCUCGGUGAGCAACCUAGAUUUCCAUCUUCUUUCCUCAUACUGGCUUCACAUUUUGUGUUAGAGGCAAGUUAUAAUUUAUUUCUUUUUAAAAACUUUACUUUGUUGAGUUCCCGUCGUGGAUCAGUGGUUAACAAACCCAACUUGGAUCCAUGAGGUUGCAGGUUCAAUCCCCGGCCUCACUCGGUGGGUUAAGAAUCUGGCAUUGCUGUGAGCUGUGGUAGAGGUCACAGAGGCGGCUCAGAUCUGGUAUUGUGAGUGUGGUGUGGGCCGGCAGCUGUAAUUCCGAUUCAGUCCUAGCCUAGGAGCUUCCAUAUGCU
rnacentral:lncRNA from 1 species